rnacentral:lncRNA from 1 species
UUACUCGAAUUCAGACAAGAUUAUAAUGCAUCUGCAACAAUGUGAUCUUCGGACAAUGAAGCUAAAAGAGGACAUUACAGUACCGACUGGCGGAAUGUCACCAAGCCCUAUUGGUGGCGAUAAGGAUGCUUGUAAUCGAAGUCAGGAAAGAAACCACAGACUGUAGAUCCAACCACAAGAAGCAAUCGUCUUUUGAAGAGAAAAAAUGCAACUGUUUCAUAUUCUCGGCUUCCGCCACAAAGAAGAGGAUCCUGAACGUAAAUUUGUAUUCAGCGAACCAGAAGCUUCUGUGACUUUCGUUAGAUACUGACUCUGAGAGUCGGAAUAGUUAAGAUUAGACCUUCUAACAAGAUUAACAGAAGCAAUAGAUUUAAAUAAUGGUCGAAAAGAACUAGAAUUGGAUAAAUUUUACCUAAAAAGAAAAUAUUUGUUAAUAUGGUGAUAAAAAUAAUUUAUGUAAAAAUGUACUUAUGAAAUUACAAUGUAUAUAUAUACAAUAGAUACACAAAAGUUACAAUAU